UCCAGCGGUGUUCAUCCACACUUAAAACAAAUUGUUACAUAAAACCAUUGUGGUGCCAGACCAGGGCCAAUACGUCACUGUUUACGGUUCACCAAUUACUCUUCCACUGACCAACAAUUCAACCAUUGCUCUUACCAGUUCACAUAUAGCACUUACAUAAAUCGCAUUAUAAUUUUUAAUGUAGAAACAAGUGCCUCGUGCAAUUGGCACGUGCCCAGUGGGCCAGUUCACUCUCCAUCUCAUCCUCUUACAGAGACAUCGCCCACCGCGAUUCUGCCAGCCUGCUCGACCCCCACUGAUUCUGCAAAGCAGUGCCAUGGCAACGACCGCUGCAAGCCAUUCCUGCGGUGAGUGCUGCAGCCUGGAGGGCCGGCGCCGACCACCACCACCACACAACCUGCGCAACAUACGACAUGCUGAAAAGUGGAGGGGCACCAUGACAUCUCUGCUGCAUCUGUCACUACAACAUCCACCAUGUUGCAAAUCACCGGCAUUGCAGGAGUGGUGGAGAUGCUCCAAAGCAGCAUCGAUGGGGCUUCGCAACUUCUGAUGUCCAGUUCACAUACCACAAUACCUCCAAAUCAGUCAGCUGAAGUGUAGCACAUGCCUUGAAGUAAAGAAGCCUGAUGUAAAACAUGUCAGAUUGGAAAUGUAAAUUCAGUUCAGUGCAUAUGUCAAUUCAAACUGCCAUGGCGACAUAGAGAAGUACCAGUAGCAAACUUAACAAAAAGGGAAAAUUUCCAAGGUUGGUAAAAUUAAUCAAACUUAAUAAAAAAGGAUUUUCCCCCAAAUUCCUAAACUGGUUGAUCUGAAGCCUAGUACAGUACUACUACAAGUGCAUCCAACCAUGGAGCACUGGACAAAGACAUAUAUGGCAGUAAACUGAUUAUAUAAUCUAGUACAAAUUGACUCAUGGAGUAAACUGAUCAACACAAGGAAAUGUGUGAAAAAUAGUUAAGAGAUAGGUAGUAUGUGAGAUCAUAAGGCAUUAUUCUCCUCAUCAGUACCAAGGAAGAAGAAAGAACUAAAGGACCUAGAACAACAACACUUGCAUUCUCUUCUUACUGAUUGCUAAUGAGUGUUUAUUUUGCACAUGCUUCCUUUUACAAACUAGCCACGGGACAGCCAGACGAGCAGCAACUGUAAAUAUAUGCAUGUGUAUGUCCUCUGAUGACAAAAAGGGCAUCCUAUUGCAGAGUAGUACCCAAAGUUCAUGUAGCAGCAGGCUGUGAUGAUGAUUGAUUGGUCUUUAUAUUUUGCAAAUGGGCGACCUUACAAUUACGGUUACCAUUAGUGUCAUUGCCAUCUUAAGUUCAGGUAUGCUACAAUUCCGUAUGCAUAAAUUCUGAAAAUUCCAUAUGCUACAAUUCAGUAGAAUCAUAGCUUGGCCACUGUAAAGAAAAGCAUGCAUAUAUAGCUGACAAAGAGAUAUCAUUUAGUAGACAUGAAAAGGCGGCAAAGAAUCUUGUCUUGAUAAAAUCUAAUUAGAGGUGAAUUGGCACAUGUGACGUGGAAAAGAUUGCCUUCUUUCGUGAAUGAAAGUGUGAUCUCCCCCUGGCCAAUUUGAUCUUUGUUGUACAAUUUACCCUCCGCAUUUAUCAUUUAUUUUUCCAUUAUAAUUUUAAUAGGGACGUGCUUAGGAUUAAUAUGGCCGCUAAUUACUAUAGAAAACAUCAAAGAUGUAACCUAUUGUAUCCCAGACUUUUAUUAUCUUGUAAUGCGGAAAGCACAAGAGCAUACUAGUGGCUUCUCUACUGUUGGUGAUGCCCGGAUAAGUGCUUAUGCACUGAUUUCCCUCCUAAUAACAGAUAAAUUAUCCAAUAACCUUGUAUGGCAAUUAAGAAACUUGUGCUAAUCUAAUACACGAUACUGACAAAGAAACAAGUAUGAUUGAUGUCCAGAUGCCAUGUUACACAAACCUGUCUAAAUCUACUUGUAUGAUUUGGACUGAACCAACAGCAGCUACUGCCUACUCACGUAUUGUAUACUUGCACGUUCCAACAACUAAAGAUCAACAUUAUAGAAAUCUUGAAAAUUUCACAACAAGCAUCAACACUCUAGAUCAUGAAUCCGUGGAAAAGAAGAUUAGGGAACUGUAUUUGUUACCCGUGGUGUCUGAUGGAGGCUGCCGGACUAGAGAUUUCGUGCAGAACCAUGGGGCCAUGGACUUGUUGGUGCCGGAGAACGAGAUGCCGCCAACCAGUACAGGAGAAAGACGACACCGCCGAGCAGCUGUCCAGUAGAGGGGACCAAGGCAGAGAGGGGCCCCGGCGAGACUGAGAUGUAGAGAGCAGCGGUGGUGUCGGGGUCGACGGCGACGGGGCGGUGGCAACGGCAUCGGCGGCGAUGCAGCCCAAUGGCCAUGGAUGGUCGGAGGAACCCUAGAGUGUCCGGAUUUGGCUGCUCCAAGCUGUCGGCCAACUCUUCCCUGAGUGGGAACC
rnacentral:lncRNA from 1 species